UACGGAGGGUGCGAGCGUUGUCCGGAAUCACUGGGCGUAAAGGGCGCGUAGGCGGCUGGGGAAGUCGGCGGUGAAAGCCCGGAGCUCAACUCCGGGUCGGCCGUCGAGACUCCUCGGCUCGAGCUCACUAGAGGCAGAUGGAAUUCCGGGUGUAGCGGUGGAAUGCGUAGAGAUCCGGAAGAACACCGGUGGCGAAGGCGGUCUGCUGGGGUGAAGCUGACGCUGAUGCGCGACAGCGUGGGGAGCAAACGGG
rnacentral:rRNA from 1 species